AGCCGCUCGCUGCAGCCUGUAGGAAGGCGGAGUUGGACAUCCAACCCCGCCCACAUCCAACUCCGCCCAUGUCCAACUCCGCCUUACGUCUAAAGCAACACCCACCUUACGUCCGUCACGAACGCCUACAUUUACUCCAGGUAAACAGGAAUUAUAGCCGAGAAAGCAGCUAAAGCAUCUAUCUGAUUUAUAUCUCCGGUUAUGGCGGUAAGUACAAAUAUUGAGUUAUUUUUUAAGUUAACAGAGCUAUUUUUAUAAUGUCCUCUUGUUUUUCUAUAUUAUAUUUUAUGAAUAAACAGUGAGUCGUUGAUACGAACCCUUACUGUGAAGGUUCUACAUCGGCGCGUGUACCAUGUGGUUUGUUUGCUUCUAGCUAGUCAUAUUGCCGUUUUUUUUUUUUGAUGGAUUCUAAUGCAGAAUUGCACCCAGUCUUGUCUAAUUCAAACUUUAGUUAUCUUACCUUCUGUUUUAUGGGCUAAAAUGCUACCAAUUAAUGGUAUCACAGAUAAACUCUCAUAGCUAGUAGUGAGCUAGGCAUCAGUUUUGUUUUUAAGGCAUAGCUAGGGGUUAUAGUCAGCUAACCUAAAAAACUGUUUAAACUGUCUAUACAAGAAGUUAAUUGGCCAACAAGAUAGCAAGAUAAUCUAGCUAACUAAAAUUGGUUCAAAGUCUUAGUCAUACAAAUAAAUAUUUGAAAUGCUUAAUCCUCCUAUUUAAUUUGUCAGGAAUAGCAAUGGUAUUCCCGGGUUAAUUUGACCUGGUUCAUUUUUAAUUAUCCAAAAUAUUUCUGAAACCAAAAUAAUCCUAACCAGAAGAGUAAAUAUUUAAUAACUAACUCCAUUGCUGAUUGUUCUAUCAACAUUUAGUACAAUAGUGUACAAUAGAGGUAAUAGUUCAAUUAGGAUAAUUCACUUGUUUUUCCAUUUUAAAAAAUCUUACUUUUUUUUUGUUUUACUACUUUGUUACUUUAAAUGACCAACACAAUAUUUUUACAUAUAAAUGAAACAUAACAUUACAAUUUCGUUUUAGUUUUAGUUUUUGCAGGGGGUUGUUGCAAAUAUGAAAUUAACCAUUUUCAUGUUAUAUGUUAAUUAUACAAAUAAAGGCAAGCUGAAGACGUUUCAUACAGAAAAAAUACUUUUACUAUCUUACUAAAUGGGUCAAUUUGACCCGUAACGUAACAGGAGGGUUAAGUCGAUGCACAUUUAUUACCUUUGUACUGAAUGUAGUUACAAUUAAUGUGCACCGAUAUAGUAAUUGUAAGCUCAUGUUGUGUUUUGUUGCUUUCUGUUUUACAGCAUCCAACACAUGUUCAGGCCACUCCUGACCCUUCACGGUUUGGCCAGUGUGGUGUUUUCAAAUGCCCCUGCUUCAGUUUUGACACUGACCAGCGAUUUAAUAACAGCCUACAUCUACAAAACCAUAUCAAACAAGCAGUCGAGAAUAACGGAAAGUUCAGCGUGUUGAACGUGUGACUGAUGAAGGAGAUAGAAUGAGCAACGUCUCCUUUGAACAGAUGCCCCUUAUUCUCAUAGAUACAGUUCUGGAAGAGGGUGACAAACUUUUUUAAAGCUGUCACUGGUUUGUCGUCUCUUCCGGGACAUUGUUUGGACAACAAUCAUUCCGGGCCCGGGCACAUUUCGAGUGGCUUGACAGUGUAGUGCCAUGAAAACAUCACAGUGCUGCAUGUAAAGACGAGUUUCGCAGGAUGUACGAACUGCAGUGCUGCCAGAACUGUCAAGAAACUUAUAAAGACUGCAUACUGGGCUACGUUGGGCAUGGGAGACGAGGGGAGCUUGUGGCAUUUUACAGCGAAAACGAGCACCCUGGAUUCUGCAGCCAGCUUCAUGAGUGGCAGGGUGUGUGAGUGGCAGGGUGUGUGAGUGGCAGGGUGUGUGAGUGGCUGGGUGUGUGAGUGGCUGGGUGUGUGAGUGGCAGGGUGUGUGAGUGGCAGGGUGUGUGAGUGGCUGGGUGUGUGAGUGGCUGGGUGUGUGAGUGGCUGGGUGUGUGAGUGGCUGGGUGUGUGAGUGGCUGGGUGUGUGAGUGGCUGGGUGUGUGAGUGGCUGGGUGUGUGAGUGGCUGGGUGUGUGAGUGGCUGGGUGUGUGAGUGGCAGGGUGUGUGAGUGGCAGGGUGUGUGAGUGGCAGGGUGUGUGAGUGGCAGGGUGUGUGAGUGGCUGGGUGUUGCAUUUUUAAAUAAAGACUUCUGUAUUUGUUUGACCAAAGCAUGUAACCAAACAUUUUAAAGGCUAGUGUGCCAAUAAAUGCCAAUAAAGAUAUUGUAUUAGCUUGGACAAAGUGUUUGUAAAUGGAGUUAAUUUCCCUGGGAACUACUGUCAGCCAUACAAAAUUGGGAGAGGAGAAGCAGGAAAGGGAUAUUAUUAUUAUUAUUAUUAUUAUUAUUAUUAUUAUUAUU